CGGGGCGUAGCUCAGUUUGGCUAGAGCGCACGGUUCGGGACCGUGAGGUCGCUGGUUCGAAUCCAGUCGCCCCGA
rnacentral:tRNA from 2 species